CAGUAGCCGCGGUAAUACGAAGGGUGCAAGCGUUAAUCGGAAUUACUGGGCGUAAAGCGUGCGUAGGCGGUGAGUUAAGUCUGCUGUGAAAUCCCCGGGCUCAACCUGGGAAUGGCAGUGGAUACUGGCUCGCUAGAGUGUGUCAGAGGAUGGUGGAAUUCCCGGUGUAGCGGUGAAAUGCGUAGAGAUCGGGAGGAACAUCAGUGGCGAAGGCGGCCAUCUGGGACAACACUGACGCUGAGGCACGAAAGCGUGGGGAGCAAACAGGAUUAGAUACCCCAGUAGUCCCUGUCUCUUAUAU
rnacentral:rRNA from 1 species